ACGGAUGGUACCGGCGGUGGACGGCGAAGCGGCGCGGUGACCCAGAGCGGGGCGACGGAGCUUCGACGCGGCCGCGGUUCUCGCAGCGAAAGAGCUACCCGUGGUGGUUCCAUCGAGGUGCCUGUGCCUCGCAGCGCCACUCCCGCCCGCUGCCGGGCCGCCUCUGCGGCCUCUAGGAGUUCCGACGCGUCCUGCGCACCCGUUUUCAACUCCUGUUCAUGCGGCACCGGUGGUAGCCGCAGCGGCCCGAGCAGCGCGAGACCUGUCGUCACCCCCGCGAGUUCAGGUAACUGUUCGAAGGAUAGAACGGACCACACAACCUCGAGCAACCUUAGCCCAUGUGUCCUACCAAGUGUAUAGCGUUGGAGUAGAAAGUCGGUCUGUCCCUUCGAGACUAGUCGUUGUAGUUCUCGUGAAUAUUGCUUUAGUGACCCUCGUCGUCGAUUAAUACGUCGUAAACGUUCUACUGCAGUCAUGCGUCUCCCAUUGAUGUAGUCACCCGUUGGUAAGUUUUUAGUUGAUCACUGUAGAGUGUACCUACAAUGGCAUGAAAAGAUAAGAAAAACAGAAAACCGAAUUCACUUUCGUUUUGAAACGAUCACUCGACCAUUGAAACAGGCUUAAAGAUUAGAUAUUGAUACUAUAUAAGGUCAAGUAAAGGUCUGUUCCCGUGUGACAGUUCCAGCUGCACCCCAAAGUCUAUUGUGAUAACAACUGAGACAUAAAAUUGGUUAACGUCAGUAUACUAGUUGACUAUAGUUUAGUGUAAUUACUUGGAUCUUUACUUACUUGUGCACUUUCAAAGAAUGUCACGUAUAUUUGCAGAAAAACCGAGAUACGAU
rnacentral:rRNA from 1 species